GUCCUGCUGGUGCGCGGUGCAUGUCUGCUCUUCAUAAAACGCCACGCUCUUUGCCUGAAUUUAGCAGAAGGGUCCCGUUCGACUCGGGGGUGGGACA